rnacentral:rRNA from 1 species
GAGUUUGAUCUUGGCUCAGGAUGAACGCUGGCGGCGUGCCUAAUACAUGCAAGUAGAACGCUGAAGCUUGGUGCUUGCACCGAGCGGAUGAGUUGCGAACGGGUGAGUAACGCGUAGGUAACCUGCCUGGUAGCGGGGAUAACUAUUGGAACGAUAGCUAAUACCGCAUAACAGUAGAUAUUGCAUGAUAUCUGCUUGAAAGGUAGCAAUUGCAUCACUACCAGAUGGACC